UACAGAGGGUGCAAGCGUUAAUCGGAAUCACUGGGCUUAAAGCGUUCGUAGGCGGGCUUGCAGGCGCGUUGUGAAAGCCCCCGGCUCAACCAGGGAACUGCUCGGUGAACCGCACGUCUGAGGCAAGUAGAGGCUGUCGGAACGAUAGGUGGAGCGGUGAAAUGCGCAGAUAUCAGGAGGAACACCGGUGGCGAAGGCGGGUCUCUGGGCCGAUACUGACGCUGAGGAGCGAAAGCGUGGGGAGCGAACAGG
rnacentral:rRNA from 1 species